rnacentral:rRNA from 1 species
CGCGGUAAUACGUAGGGGGCUAGCGUUAUCCGGAUUUACUGGGCGUAAAGGGUGCGUAGGCGGUCUUUCAAGUCAGGAGUGAAAGGCUACGGCUCAACCGUAGUAAGCUCUUGAAACUGGGAGACUUGAGUGCAGGAGAGGAGAGUGGAAUUCCUAGUGUAGCGGUGAAAUGCGUAGAUAUUAGGAGGAACACCAGUUGCGAAGGCGGCUCUCUGGACUGUAACUGACGCUGAGGCACGAAAGCGUGGGGAGCAAACAGGAUUAGAUACCCUGGUAGUCCACGCUGUAAACGAUGAGUACUAGGUGUCGGGGGUUACCCCCUUCGGUGCCGCAGCUAACGCAUUAAGUACUCCGCCUGGGAAGUACGCUCGCAAGAGGGAGACUCAAAGGAAUGGACGGGGACCCGCAACAGUAGCGGAGCAUGUGGUUUAAUUCGAAGCAACGCGAAGACCCUUACCUAAGCUUGACAUCCCAUUGCCAUCUCCUUAAUCGGAGAGUUCCCUUUGGGGACAUUGGUGACAGGUGGUGCAUGGUUGUCGUCAGCUCGUGUCGUGAGAUGUUGGGUUAAGUCCCGCAAC